CGGAGAGUUUGAUCCUGGCUCAGGAUGAACGCUGGCGGUAUGCUUAACACAUGCAAGUCGAACGGUGUCUUCGGACACAGUGGCGGACGGGUGAGUAACGCGUGAGAAUCUGGCUCUAGGUCUGGGACAACCACUGGAAACGGUGGCUAAUACCGGAUGUGCCGAGAGGUGAAAGGUUAACUGCCUAGAGAUGAGCUCGCGUCUGAUUAGCUAGUAGGUAGUGUAAUGGACUACCUAGGCGACGAUCAGUAGCUGGUCUGAGAGGACGAUCAGCCACACUGGGACUGAGACACGGCCCAGACUCCUACGGGAGGCAGCAGUGGGGAAUUUUCCGCAAUGGGCGAAAGCCUGACGGAGCAAUACCGCGUGAGGGAGGAAGGCUCUUGGGUCGUAAACCUCUUUUCUCAGGGAAGAACACAAUGACGGUACCUGAGGAAUAAGCAUCGGCUAACUCCGUGCCAGCAGCCGCGGUAAUACGGAGGAUGCAAGCGUUAUCCGGAAUGAUUGGGCGUAAAGCGUCCGCAGGUGGCAAUGUAAGUCUGCUGUUAAAGAGUCUAGCUCAACUAGAUACAAGCAGUGGAAACUACAUAGCUAGAGUACGUUCGGGGCAGAGGGAAUUCCUGGUGUAGCGGUGAAAUGCGUAGAGAUCAGGAAGAACACCGGUGGCGAAGGCGCUCUGCUAGGCCGUAACUGACACUGAGGGACGAAAGCUAGGGGAGCGAAUGGGAUUAGAUACCCCAGUAGUCCUAGCCGUAAACGAUGGAUACUAGGCGUGGCUUGUAUCGACCCGAGCCGUGCCGUAGCUAACGCGUUAAGUAUCCCGCCUGGGGAGUACGCCGGCAACGGUGAAACUCAAAGGAAUUGACGGGGGCCCGCACAAGCGGUGGAGUAUGUGGUUUAAUUCGAUGCAACGCGAAGAACCUUACCAAGGCUUGACAUGUCGCGAAUCCUGGUGAAAGCCGGGAGUGCCUUCGGGAGCGCGAACACAGGUGGUGCAUGGCUGUCGUCAGCUCGUGUCGUGAGAUGUUGGGUUAAGUCCCGCAACGAGCGCAACCCUCGUUUUUAGUUGCCAGCAUUAAGUUGGGCACUCUAGAGAGACUGCCGGUGACAAACCGGAGGAAGGUGGGGAUGACGUCAAGUCAGCAUGCCCCUUACGCCUUGGGCUACACACGUACUACAAUGCUCCGGACAGAGGGCAGCAAGCAUGCGAAUGCAAGCAAAUCCCGUAAACCGGAGCUCAGUUCAGAUCGCAGGCUGCAACUCGCCUGCGUGAAGGAGGAAUCGCUAGUAAUUGCAGGUCAGCAUACUGCAGUGAAUUCGUUCCCGGGCCUUGUACACACCGCCCGUCACACCAUGGAAGCUGGUAGUGCCCGAAGUCAUUACUCCAACCUUUCGGGGAGGAGGAUGCCUAAGGCAGGACUGGUGACUGGGGUGAAGUCGUAACAAGGUAGCCGUACCGGAAGGUGUGGCUGGAUCACCUCCUUUUUAGGGAGACCUAUACCCCAUACAUAUCGAAAAACACACAGUUAAAUAGAUAGUAAGUUGGUCUAACCUAGGUCGGUCGCAGACAUGUGCAAAAUGUAAAAAGCUUUCAAACUAUGAUUUGGUUCUUUUAGGGGCUAUUAGCUCAGGUGGUUAGAGCGCACCCCUGAUAAGGGUGAGGUCCCUGGUUCGAGUCCAGGAUGGCCCACCUGAAUCAAUUAAAAAUGCAAAAUUAAAAAUGAAAAUGAAAUAAAUUUUUAAUUUUUAAUUAUCAAUUUUUAAUUGUAUCUGGGGGUUUAGCUCAGUUGGUAGAGCGCCUGCUUUGCAAGCAGGAUGUCAGCGGUUCGAGUCCGCUAACCUCCACCUGUGGUGAUUGCCAUUGAUAAAAUAUAUUGAGAGUUCAGCAACAUGACAUGACUUUAGUGUCAGACUGCUGAGUUGUAUCUCAGCCAGAACCUUGAAAACUGCAUAGAAACGCGAAAUUAGCAGGCAGACACAGACAUUCUUAGUACUGAGUGCCUCGACUUAGAGUACUGAGUAAAAUCAGUGCAAAGUGAUGAGGUAAGCAGAACUAACUAUUUGUUUUUGUGAAUGCAAAUUGUGAAACACCAAAUGAAUUGAGUGGUCAAGCUAAUAAGGGCUAACGGUGGAUACCUAGGCACACAGAGGCGA
rnacentral:rRNA from 1 species